rnacentral:lncRNA from 1 species
AUCAUAACUGGAAAUAUAAUAAAGAUAAGGACUUUAUAGUCAUGCCCUGCAAACAGGAUGACGUAAACCAGUGCUUAGAAUACGUCUCACGGUUUGCAGAAGAAACAAACAGUCUCAUCAUCCUUGACGACUGUGCAAGCAGUCAAUCCGUCAAAAAUAGAACCGGCGAACUGGUGGAACUUGGGUUCAGUGCUAGACAUAAGGGAAUAUCAACCAUAAUUAUUACCCAACAGCUCACAUCUAUUGCGAAACCCUAUAGGGAAAAUAUAUCCAAACUCGUAACCUUCUACAACCGGGGCGCAGGGGGUACGAAUGCCAUAGUGAAUGAAUACCUUGAAGAUACGGAG